UUCACAGUGUAACUCUUUUCCCCCCUCCUACAGAUGGAGAGUGUUGGCGUGUACGGAUUCUGUGGGUGUAAAGCAAAGAACAAAAUGAAGUGUGAUUCAAGGUGGGAAAUAGCCGCUUCAGCUCCCCCAGGCUGCAGCAGCUACCACACAAAGAAGCAGUCCUAUGGCAAUGACAGGACAUCUGUGUCCAGGAUUUGGAUUUGACGAACUGGCAGUUCCUGCAGGGAUGACGGUACUCCCUAGUUGUGUCUGAAUUGGACGCACCAGCACUUGAGCACACACAAAUGCACGUGAACAGACGGAACAUGUUAUGGGCCUGUUAGCCAAGGAAUGACAGAAUUAAUCCAUGGGCAUUUGCGGCCAGUGUUGUGUUAAACUAAAGGGAAAAAGUGAACUGGAAAAAGCAAUGUUUGUUUUAUGAAAAUCUCAGACCCAGUCCUUAAGUGACAGUUCUGGAAAUGAGGGGUGUCUAAAACAAAGGGCAUCUGAAACUUCGGUUUUUCAGCUUCCUUUCCUUGUCUCAUGACCUCUUUCCUACCCGCUGCCUCUGUUUUCUCUAAUAUGGAACAGUGAAAAUGGGGGCCAGCAAAACAGAUUGUUGAUGUCUGUUGAUUUUAUCAAAGGAAGGUUAGA
rnacentral:lncRNA from 1 species